GAUGAACGCUAGCUACAGGCUUAACACAUGCAAGUCGAGGGGCAUCAUGGGAGUUGCUUGCAACUUCUGAUGGCGACCGGCGCACGGGUGAGUAACGCGUAUCCAACCUUCCCCCUAGUAGGGCAUAGCCCGGCGAAAGUCGGAUUAAUACCCUAUGUUAUCCGAAGCAGGCAUCUAAUUUGGAUUAAAGAUUUAUCGCUAAGGGAUGGGGAUGCGUCUGAUUAGGCAGUCGGCGGGGUAACGGCCCACCGAGCCAUCGAUCAGUAGGGGUUCUGAGAGGAAGGUCCCCCACAUUGGUACUGAGACACGGACCAAACUCC
rnacentral:rRNA from 1 species